rnacentral:pre_miRNA from 1 species
AGCCUUUUUUAUCCGUGCUGAGAUUUCGUCACACACCAGACCACGAAAGCUGAUGAGUCUCCCAAAAUAAUUGAAGCG